GAUGAACGCUAGCGGCAGGCUUAACACAUGCAAGUCGAGGGGUAUAGUUCUUCGGAGCUAGAGACCGGCGCACGGGUGCGUAACGCGUAUGCAAUCUACCUUUUGCAGAGGGAUAGCCCAGAGAAAUUUGGAUUAAUACCUCAUAGUAUGUGAGAAUGGCAUCAUUUUCACAUUAAAGUCACAACGGCAAAAGAUGAGCAUGCGUCCCAUUAGCUUGUCGGUAAGGUAACGGCUUACCAAGGCAACGAUGGGUAGGGGUCCUGAGAGGGGGAUCCGCCAGACUGGUACUGAGACACGGACCAGCCUCCUACGGGAGGCAGGCGUGAGGAAUAUGGGACAAUGGGCGCAAGCCUGAUCCAGCCAUGCCGCGUGCAGGAUGACGGUCCUAUGGAUUGUAAACUGCUUUUGUACAGGAAGAAACACUGGUUCGUGAACCAGCUUGACGGUACUGUAAGAAUAAGGAUCGGCUAACUCCGUGCCAGCAGCCGCCGCAGUAA
rnacentral:rRNA from 1 species